UACGGGGGGGGCUAGCGUUGCUCGGAAUUACUGGGCGUAAAGGGCUCGUAGGCGGCCAACUAAGUCAGACGUGAAAUCCCUCGGCUUAACCGGGGAACUGCAUCUGAUACUGGAUGGCUUGAGUUCGGGAGAGGGAUGCGGAAUUCCAGGUGUAGCGGUGAAAUGCGUAGAUAUCUGGAGGAACACCGGUGGCGAAGGCGGCAUCCUGGACCGACACUGACGCUGAGGAGCGAAAGCCAGGGGAGCAAACGGG
rnacentral:rRNA from 1 species